rnacentral:lncRNA from 1 species
UCACUAGGCUCAUUCCCAAAGUAAUGCCUCGCCCUCACAGCUAAGUGGAAACCAAACCAGCCACCAGAGAAAUGGAAGUUAGGCCAUUGUAUCAGUCAGGAUAUUCUUUUAAAUAACCAGAGGGCUUUGUUGUCUCUUAGAAUUGGAAUGUCAAGUGGGAAGAUAAGUUUCAGGGGCUGUUUGAUUGAGCAACCCAAAAAUGUCAUUAAGAAAAGAUCCGGCUUCUUUCCAUCUCUCCACUCUACUUUUUACAGGUCAAUGAAUCCAAGUUGUUUUUGUUUUGUUUUGUUUUCAUUAUGACAAAAUGGUGGCAGCCAUUCUAGACUGACACGCCACAGCAGCUGGAAGAAAGACACGAUCUUUUCCUCUGAUGCCUCUCUCAGAAGCAUUCCAGUUUAUGUCUUCCUCUUGCCUAUUUGAGGACUAAAGUCAAAAUGUCUAUACCAUCCUGUACAGCCACAUAUGGGUCUUGAGCACUUGAAAAGUGACUGGUCCAGCUUCACAUGUGCUCACUGUACCAGCCUCUGGAGGAAAUGCAAGAGACCUUCCAGACCUGAUCACCACACCCUAUUCAUAAUCUCGCCAUGGAGAAGAGACAUCCACUUAUGAAGCCAGCAGAACAGAUGUGGGCAACUUUCAAAAACGAAGUAACAAAUGGUCAGCUCCUGUUCUUCUGUAGUGCUGAGGAUGGAAGGAGAAAGAGUUCACACAGAAUGGGACCCUAGCGAUAUGAAAGUCAAGAAAAAUUAGGUUACCCAAGUCAUUGUCUUGCAUGCAACCAAACAAUCUUGAGUGAUCUAACAGAAUAUUAAGAAGUAUAAGGUAUCAACACCCUACUAUAUAAUCAGCUGAAGAGGGCCAUGGCCGUAUGACCCAGGUCUUGGGUUAGUUGAGUAGUUAUACCAGCUAACCAGAAGUUGGAUUAUUUUCCAAUGACAUGAUUCUGUCACGGCAUUGAUCUGCAAGCCAGAACCCGAUACGUAGUGUCCUACUAGAGCCAGAAUACCCCUUUUUAUGACCAAGGAACCAGAGGUAUAGUGAUUUCCAGAGUGGUACUUGUACCUGCAUCCAUUCAUUGCACAGACCUGCCUACUAGAAUGAAGGAGCAGCCACCCUACUAGCAAAAUGGCCCUGCAGUGAUAUAGGGCUUGAUGAGUAACAAUGCGUGUGGCCUCUGGAUCAAGGAGUUAAGAACUACCUGAACAUUGAAACCAAAACCAAAGCCAGAAAGUCCCUAUUCCAAAGGAAAGAGGCAAAGGGAAGAAUCCAGGUAAAAGCAUCAUGACAGAAUCCAGGAUGUUUCAGGAGUAGGCAGCAGUCACUGCUCUCCACUCUUACCCAAGUCAGCCUCUCUCUUCCCUCAGAUCGCUAACUUGGUUCCUGAGCACUCCAGGAGCUGACUAUAAAGUUGGUGAAUAAGAUGUAUACAAAUGAAAGAAUAUCUACAACAAAGAGCAGGGUUUUUUUUAUUUUCCUUUUUACUUUUUUAGGUUUUUUUUAA